CUUCACUAAAAACGUUUUCAUGUACAUUAUACCCUCAUACCUAUUAGAAAUCGCAAAAUACCCCCCCUACUUGAAAACUUUUGUAUGACAAGAAAUCCUACCGUCAAGAUCAUUCAGAAUUACCUUUUUUUUUUAAAAAAAAAGGCCAAUAUUAAAGAGGUAUAAUUACAAUUUUAGUAUCCAAACUUUUUAUUUUUUAUUUUUUAUUUUUUUUAAUCAUAUGUGCCAACUACAAUCCCAAAUUUUUAAAACUUUAUUUUUCACCCCACCCCCAAUUCAUCUUCUUCCCCAGAGAUUAUAGAAACCUUGAUAUUAUUAUUGACAGCAAAGAUAAACCAUCCAAGGAUGAUGACCCUCUAUAUUCCUUAAUGACUUAGCCUUAUGACCUACACAUUGCUGCACUGUGCUUCACAAAUUUCAGUAAUAGCUUCCCACAAAACCUCUGCAUAUUUAGACAGCACGUAACUAUCAGUAAAAGCUGCCCUCAUUAACAAACUAGUCCCUUGAGGAAGAUUCACUGUCAAAUUCAGAAAAUUUUCAUCCCAAAAGGACCAUCAUUCUUUGACUUAUAUUCUCGACCCGAAGAAUUCUCUUCGCGAAAUUGCAGGCAACUCAACCUGAUUGAGAAAUGCCUUGAACUUAGGGUGUUGAAGACUUGAAAUUGAGAGAGGAAAUUAACUAUACUUUGUUCCAAUUCUAGUCAAGGAAAAGAAAAUUAAUGGGGUUUCUGGGGUAAAGAUCGCAUUCUUGGUGCAGGUACCUUACCUAUGGAACCGUACAUGUAGCGGCAAAGGUUGAUCCUCAUCUUUCAGUUUCUACCGCCGCUGUGAAGUCCGUCGAAGUGAUCACAGGGAAACGCAUUUGAUCGACUGCUCGGAGUGAUGCAGAAUUGUUUCCACGGAUUGGAUUUGGUAAUCCAAUACUCAAAAAUAUUUCCGACGCUGCGAAAGAUAUUUUGAACAAAUGCUUGGCCAAGAAACACGAACAGAGAUGGAAGCCGACGUGCUAUUGAGUCAGCUCCACCUAAGCUUUAUCUUUUCAGAUGUUCAGUGGAGGUUCUCGACUGGUUAGACACAUAAAAAAAUUGGAUUUAAUCUGUUAAAAAAUAAAUUAUAAUUAUUCAUUUUAAUUUUGACAUUCUUUACCGUUUAACAACAGAUCUAAUGAAUCUUGAUAGCUAUGGGUUUUUUCGCGCAGAGGUUUCAAACAAGGGAUUUUCUGUGAUUUUCAGUAGGUAGAUAAUAUAUCACACAUGAAAACUUUUUUAAGAGAGUUUUCUGCUAUUAAUCCAAAAAAUUACCUCUAAAUAAAAUUUCACUUGUGAGCAAAAAAAUUUCUUCCCAAAAAUUAUAAAUUGAAAUUUUCACUAAGAAACAUAUAUGUAAAUUUAUUCUUUUAUAAAGUUUCAAAACCGGUGGAUAAUAACAUAUUUAAAAAAUCACUACUAAAACUACUCAAAAUCGAUCAACUCAUAAACGAUUAAAAUUGAUACCUUAAAAAUGUUUAUAACUGGUCCCCCGAAACUCCC
rnacentral:lncRNA from 1 species